rnacentral:rRNA from 1 species
AUGGACACGGCGGGUGCAACCAGCAAGAAGCAACGGCUUUCCCAUGAGUACGUGAGUGACAUCCUGACCAUGCCUAUAGAGGAGAAGCACCAGCACCCAGACAACUUGCCGUCCUACCUUCGCGGCGACAACCCGGCGGAGCUCCUGGACGUGACGGAGGAGUGGCUCGAGGAGAAGAGGCUGGCGUACAGGGAACGGGCCGCCCGCGACCAGAGGAUCCAUGCUGACUGGGUGCAGUUUCAGAACCGGGUCCGCGGCGAGUUGCUUGAGAAGGGCUACGUGGAGGUGGACGACGAUGACUUCACCUACAUCGCCAGGAUCGAGGAAGAGGCCAGCGCAAGGUGGGAAGAGGUGAAGAAGAAGAAACCAGACCCGGGUCUCACAUUAUUCUCGGAGUUAGCUGACGCCUGUGAGAAGCAGGCGAUGCUCUUCCUUGGUCAGUGA